UAAACUAGGAUUAGAUACCCUAUUAUUUUGAAUGUAAAAUUUAAUAUUAGAUUAUUAAUAGUUAUGGACUUUAAAAUUAAAGAAUUUGGCGGUAUUUUAGUCCAUUCAGAGGAACCUGUCCUAUAAUUGAUUCUCCACGUUAAUAUAAACUUAAUCUAAAGGUUUGUAUAUCGUCGUAGUUUGAGGAUUUUAGAAGAAUAAUAAUCUUCAUAAUGUUAGAAAGAACAGAAUUCAGAUCAAGGUGCAGCUUAUGGUUAAGGAGAGAUGGGUUACAAUAAAAUAAUUUAGACGGAUGGGUUGUUUAAAAUGAUUUUGAAGGUGGAUUUGAAGGUAAUAUUAUAAAUAUUUAUUUAAUAUGAUUUUGGCUCUAAAAUAUGUACAUAUCGCCCGUCGCUUUCAUUACAGUUGAAAUAAGUCGUAACAAAGUAGGCGUACUGGAAAGUGUGCCUAGAAAGGCAAGUUAAAGCUUUAAUAAGCAUCUUAUUUACAUUAAGAGGAUAUUUGUGAAAUUCAAUUUAAUGAAUUGAGUUUAUUAUUAUUAUUUAAGUUUUAAUAAUAAUUUUCUAAAUAAAGAUCAGUUUAUUAUUAUAAAGAAUAACUAAAUUUUAUUAUAGUGAAUUAGUACUGUGAAGGAAUUAAAUUAAAAUUUGAGUAAGAAGUUUUAAUUUAUUGUACCUUUUGUAUCAGGGUUUAUUAAUUAAAAAAUAUUAAUAUAUUUUUCUCGAAUCUAAAAGAGCUAAUUUAAUAUAUAUAUUACUAUUGAAUAAGUAUUUUAAAUAUUGAAUUUGUAAUGAAACGUUAUUCGUUUUUAGAUAUAUCUAGUUUCUUUAGAAAUGAAUUUAAUUCAGCUAAUUAAUGAAAUUUCUUAUAUUAAUAAGAAAUUUUAUGAUUUAAGUAAUAUUUUAGGGGAUGAGCUUUAAAAUAUUUCUAUAGAUUAAAUAUUUAAUUUUAGUAUGUAGGAUUAGAAGUUUCUUUCAUUAAUAGUGUGUUAUAACUAUAUAAAUUUAAAUAAUAAUUUAUAUAAUUCUUAGUUUAUUAUAAAGAAUUUCAAUUUAAUUAUUAAAUUGAAGAUUUAAUGAUAAAAUUAGUACAAUUUUAUGUAGAUUUAAUUAAAUUAUUUAGGUUAAAUUAAGGAAUUCGGCAAAUUAGUUUCUCGCCUGUUUAUUAAAAACAUGUCUUUUUGAAUUUUAUUUAAAGUCUGACCUGCCCCCUGAGGAGUUUAAAGGCUGCAGUAUCCUGACUGUACAAAGGUAGCAUAAUCAUUAGUCUCUUAAUUAGAGGCUUGUAUGAAUGGUUUGACGAGGGAACAACUGUCUCAAUUUAAUUUUUUUGGAAAUUUAUUUUUAAGUUAGAAAGCUUAAAUUGUUUUAAAAGACGAGAAGACCCUAUAGAGUUUUAUAAAUUGCUUUAGUUAAUACUUUUUAGUAUAUUUGGGGUUAAUUAUUUCAUUUUAUUUUGUUGGGGUGAUAGAAAAAUUAAAUAAACUUUUUUUAUUUAAAACAAAAAUAUUUGAUUAUAUGAUCCGCUUAGGCGAUUAAAAGAUUAAAUUACCUUAGGGAUAACAGCGUAAUUUUUUUUGAGAGUUCUUAUUAAAAAAAAAGUUUGCGACCUCGAUGUUGGAUUAAAAUUGAUAUUUGGUGUAGAAGCUAAAUCAUUAGGUCUGUUCGACCUUUAAAAUUUUACAUGAUCUGAGUCAAAACCGGAGA
rnacentral:rRNA from 1 species